ACAUCCAGCGAACUUGGCAGAGAUGCCUUGGGUGCCUUCGGGAACGCUGAGACAGGUGCUGCAUGGCUGUCGUCAGCUCGUGUUGUGAAAUGUUGGGUUAAGUCCCGNAACGAGCGCAACCCUUAUCCUUUGUUGCCAGCGAUUCGGUCGGGAACUCAAAGGAGACUGCCGGUGAUAAACCGGAGGAAGGUGGGGAUGACGUCAAGUCAUCAUGGCCCUUACGAGUAGGGCUACACACGUGCUACAAUGGCGCAUACAAAGAGAAGCGACCUCGCGAGAGCAAGCGGACCUCAUAAAGUGCGUCGUAGUCCGGAUCGGAGUCUGCAACUCGACUCCGUGAAGUCGGAAUCGCUAGUAAUCGUGGAUCAGAAUGCCACGGUGAAUACGUUCCCGGGCCUUGUACACACCGCCCGUCACACCAUGGGAGUGGGUUGCAAAAGAAGUAGGUAGCUUAACCCUCGGGAGGGCGCUUACCACUUUGUGAUUCAUGACUGGGGUGAAGUCGUAACAAGGUAAGCGUAGCGAG
rnacentral:rRNA from 1 species